AUGAGCCGGGGUGAGUACUCCUGUUCUCAUAACCAUCUGUGAGUCUCUUGCCAGGAGAGGGAGUGGCCCAGCUGUUCCUGAUCAGCAAUCAGCGGGGUGCCUUCCUAUUUAAGGUGGAUGGUGGACACACUUCGACGCCGGAAGAUUGCCUCAGUUUUGGAUUCCUGUCGACCUCAUUGGAUACUGACCUCUACUCCAGGAUUCGGAUAUUCAGCACACGGACCUUAUCACCACCCUCCAUAACCCACCUCUCAUCUCACCCAGUGCCCCAUCCACCAGGACGCCCCGCUUCUCUCCACCUCUGCUCCCUCUCCUGCGCUUCCCCCGGCUCUCUACCUCUCCCUCCUCCAGCCAACACAUACACCCACCACAACGCUGAGCUGUUGUUGCAGUUCCAACCACAGACUUAUCUGUGCACCUUAAGUUCCUCCUUAUAAAUAAAUCAUUUUUUCAUCCAUUUUUUGGUCAGUGUUGUAUUCUGCAUGUCUUGGGUUAAGUACCUUCCUCCAAACAUGACACAGGUGUGCUGCA